AAAUUGAAGAGUUUGAUCAUGGCUCAGAUUGAACGCUGGCGGCAGGCCUAACACAUGCAAGUCGAACGGUAACAGGAAUCAGCUUGCUGAUUCGCUGACGAGUGGCGGACGGGUGAGUAAUGUCUGGGAAACUGCCUGAUGGAGGGGGAUAACUACUGGAAACGGUAGCUAAUACCGCAUAACGUCGCAAGACCAAAGAGGGGGACCUUCGGGCCUCUUGCCAUCGGAUGUGCCCAGAUGGGAUUAGCUAGUAGGUGGGGUAACGGCUCACCUAGGCGACGAUCCCUAGCUGGUCUGAGAGGAUGACCAGCCACACUGGAACUGAGACACGGUCCAGACUCCUACGGGAGGCAGCAGUGGGGAAUAUUGCACAAUGGGCGCAAGCCUGAUGCAGCCAUGCCGCGUGUAUGAAGAAGGCCUUCGGGUUGUAAAGUACUUUCAGCGGGGAGGAAGGGAGUAAAGUUAAUACCUUUGCUCAUUGACG
rnacentral:rRNA from 1 species